rnacentral:rRNA from 1 species
GACGAACGCUGGCGGCGUGCUUAACACAUGCAAGUCGAACGGACAGGCCCUGCUUUUGUGGGGUGCUCGAGUGGCGAACGGGUGAGUAACACGUGAGUACCCUGCCCCUGACUUUGGGAUAACUUCAUACCACUUGGGCUAAUACCGGAUAGGAGCUCCUGCUUCUUGGUGGGGGUUGGUAAGUUUCGGCGGUUGGGGAUGGACUGGCGUCUGAUCAGCUUGUUGGUGGGGUAGUGGCUUACCAAGGCUUUGACGCGUAGCCGGGCUGAGAGGGUGACCGGACACAUCGCGACGGAGAUGCGGCCCAGACUCCUACGGGACGCAACAGUGGGGUAUAUUGCACUAUGGGCUGAACCCUGAUGCAGCACAGCCGCGUGGGGGAUGACGGGCUUCGGGUUGGAAAGUACUUUCCUCUGUGACGAAACGUGAGUGACGGUAAUGGGUAAAGAAGCACCGGCUAACUACGUG